CCUACGGGAGGCAGCAGUGGGGAAUCUUGCGCAAUGGGCGAAAGCCUGACGCAGCAACGCCGCGUGCGGGAAGAAGGCUCUCGGGUUGUAAACCGCUUUCAGCAGGAACGAAAAUGACGGUACUUGCAGAAGAAGGUGCGGCCAACUACGUGCCAGCAGCCGCGGUGACACGUAGGCACCAAGCGUUGUCCGGAUUUAUUGGGCGUAAAGAGCUCGUAGGCGGUUCGGUAAGUCAGGUGUGAAAACUUUGGGCUCAACCCAAAGCCUGCAUCUGAUACUGCUGUGACUAGAGUUCGGUAGGGGAGCGGGGAAUUCCUAGUGUAGCGGUGAAAUGCGCAGAUAUUAGGAGGAACACCGGUGGCGAAGGCGCCGCUCUGGGCCGAAACUGACGCUGAGGAGCGAAAGCGUGGGUAGCAAACAGGAUUAGAUACCCUGGUAGUCCACGACGUAACGUAGGCGACUAGUGUGGUUCGUACAACGAACUACGCGCGUCGCUACGCAUAGUGCCCGCCGUCGGGAGGUACGGCCGCGACGUAAACGUACGAAAGGAAGUAGACGGCGNGAAGACGUGCCGAACGGACGACGACGAGGGAGGAGG
rnacentral:rRNA from 1 species